rnacentral:rRNA from 1 species
UUAAGUUAUUAAGGGCGCACGGUGGAUGCCUUGGCACUAGAAGCCGAUGAAGGACGUUACUAACGACGAUAUGCUUUGGGGAGCUGUAAGUAAGCUUUGAUCCAGAGAUUUCCGAAUGGGGAAACCCAGCAUGAGUUAUGUCAUGUUAUCGAUAUGUGAAUACAUAGCAUAUCAGAAGGCACACCCGGAGAACUGAAACAUCUUAGUACCCGGAGGAAGAGAAAGAAAAUUCGAUUCCCUUAGUAGCGGCGAGCGAAACGGGAAGAGCCUAAACCAAAAAGCUUGCUUGUUGGGGUUGUAGGACACUCUAUACGGAGUUACAAAGGACGACAUUAGACGAAUCAUCUGGAAAGAUGAAUCAAAGAAGGUAAUAAUCCUGUAGUCGAAAAUGUUGUCUCUCUUGAGUGGAUCCUGAGUACGACGGAGCACGUGAAAUUCCGUCGGAAUCUGGGAGGACCAUCUCCUAAGGCUAAAUACUCUCUAGUGACCGAUAGUGAACCAGUACCGUGAGGGAAAGGUGAAAAGCACCCCGGAAGGGGAGUGAAAUAGAACCUGAAACCGUGUGCUUACAAGUAGUCAGAGCCUGUUAAUGGGUGAUGGCGUGCCUUUUGUAGAAUGAACCGGCGAGUUACGAUUUGAUGCAAGGUUAAGCAGUAAAUGUGGAGCCGUAGCGAAAGCGAGUCUGAAUAGGGCGUUUAGUAUUUGGUCGUAGACCCGAAACCAGGUGAUCUACCCUUGGUCAGGUUGAAGUUCAGGUAACACUGAAUGGAGGACCGAACCGACUUACGUUGAAAAGUGAGCGGAUGAACUGAGGGUAGCGGAGAAAUUCCAAUCGAACCUGGAGAUAGCUGGUUCUCUCCGAAAUAGCUUUAGGGCUAGCCUCAAGUGAUGAUUAUUGGAGGUAGAGCACUGUUUGGACGAGGGGCCCCUCUCGGGUUACCGAAUUCAGACAAACUCCGAAUGCCAAUUAAUUUAACUUGGGAGUCAGAACAUGGGUGAUAAGGUCCGUGUUCGAAAGGGAAACAGCCCAGACCACCAGCUAAGGUCCCAAAAUAUAUGUUAAGUGGAAAAGGAUGUGGCGUUGCCCAGACAACUAGGAUGUUGGCUUAGAAGCAGCCAUCAUUUAAAGAGUGCGUAAUAGCUCACUAGUCGAGUGACACUGCGCCGAAAAUGUACCGGGGCUAAACAUAUUACCGAAGCUGUGGAUUGUCCUUUGGACAAUGGUAGGAGAGCGUUCUAAGGGCGUUGAAGCAUGAUCGUAAGGACAUGUGGAGCGCUUAGAAGUGAGAAUGCCGGUGUGAGUAGCGAAAGACGGGUGAGAAUCCCGUCCACCGAUUGACUAAGGUUUCCAGAGGAAGGCUCGUCCGCUCUGGGUUAGUCGGGUCCUAAGCUGAGGCCGACAGGCGUAGGCGAUGGAUAACAGGUUGAUAUUCCUGUACCACCUAUAAUCGUUUUAAUCGAUGGGGGGACGCAGUAGGAUAGGCGAAGCGUGCGAUUGGAUUGCACGUCUAAGCAGUAAGGCUGAGUAUUAGGCAAAUCCGGUACUCGUUAAGGCUGAGCUGUGAUGGGGAGAAGACAUUGNGUCUUCGAGUCGUUGAUUUCACACUGCCGAGAAAAGCCUCUAGAUAGAAAAUAGGUGCCCGUACCGCAAACCGACACAGGUAGUCAAGAUGAGAAUUCUAAGGUGAGCGAGCGAACUCUCGUUAAGGAACUCGGCAAAAUGACCCCGUAACUUCGGGAGAAGGGGUGCUCUUUAGGGUUAACGCCCAGAAGAGCCGCAGUGAAUAGGCCCAAGCGACUGUUUAUCAAAAACACAGGUCUCUGCUAAACCGUAAGGUGAUGUAUAGGGGCUGACGCCUGCCCGGUGCUGGAAGGUUAAGAGGAGUGGUUAGCUUCUGCGAAGCUACGAAUCGAAGCCCCAGUAAACGGCGGCCGUAACUAUAACGGUCCUAAGGUAGCGAAAUUCCUUGUCGGGUAAGUUCCGACCCGCACGAAAGGCGUAACGAUUUGGGCACUGUCUCAACGAGAGACUCGGUGAAAUCAUAGUACCUGUGAAGAUGCAGGUUACCCGCGACAGGACGGAAAGACCCCGUGGAGCUUUACUGUAGCCUGAUAUUGAAAUUCGGCACAGCUUGUACAGGAUAGGUAGGAGCCUUUGAAACGUGAGCGCUAGCUUACGUGGAGGCGCUGGUGGGAUACUACCCUAGCUGUGUUGGCUUUCUAACCCGCACCACUUAUCGUGGUGGGAGACAGUGUCANGCGGGCAGUUUGACUGGGGCGGUCGCCUCCUAAAAGGUAACGGAGGCGCUCAAAGGUUCCCUCAGAAUGGUUGGAAAUCAUUCAUAGAGUGUAAAGGCAUAAGGGAGCUUGACUGCGAGACCUACAAGUCGAGCAGGGUCGAAAGACGGACUUAGUGAUCCGGUGGUUCCGCAUGGAAGGGCCAUCGCUCAACGGAUAAAAGCUACCCCGGGGAUAACAGGCUUAUCUCCCCCAAGAGUUCACAUCGACGGGGAGGUUUGGCACCUCGAUGUCGGCUCAUCGCAUCCUGGGGCUGUAGUCGGUCCCAAGGGUUGGGCUGUUCGCCCAUUAAAGCGGUACGCGAGCUGGGUUCAGAACGUCGUGAGACAGUUCGGUCCCUAUCCGUCGUGGGCGUAGGAAAUUUGAGAGGAGCUGUCCUUAGUACGAGAGGACCGGGAUGGACAUACCUCUGGUGUACCAGUUGUCGUGCCAACGGCAUAGCUGGGUAGCUAUGUGUGGACGGGAUAAGUGCUGAAAGCAUCUAAGCAUGAAGCCCCCCUCAAGAUGAGAUUUCCCAACUUCGGUUAUAAGAUCCCUCAAAGAUGAUGAGGUUAAUAGGUUCGAGGUGGAAGCAUGGUGACAUGUGGAGCUGACGAAUACUAAUCGAUCGAAGACUUAAUCAA